AAAAGAGAGGGACAAGGUAAACUGACGUUGCUGGACACGAUCGCAGAUACACAAACUGCGCUCUGUGUAACCAUUGUCCGUUACUUAAAGCUCUUGCGACAAGAGCUUUUGCGAUGUGAUGCGUGAUAACAAAUAUAUAUGUAGCUCACAAGAACAUUAGCUUGGACCGAAGUGCAAAAAGCGCCAUCUACCGAUCUGCCGACGCAUGAUUGUAGCGCCAUCUAGCGAUCGCUAAGGCAAAACUGAUCGAUGCCUCUGAGUAACGGAUUUUUAUAGAUAUCGGUAAAUGAACAGCCUUUUUACUAACACUUCGCACAUUUAGUUAACAAACUUACCAAGUCAGUACGUUGCGAAACAAUAUGAACACGGCCAAGGCGCAUGUGAUGAUGAAAAUGACACUGUGCAACGAGGACAACCACAGCGGACUGUCCAUCUCAUCUGUCCAGUUUUGUUGGGCUCCAGUUGCUUGUGCUUGUACCGCCGGCAUCAUUUUUGCCGAAGUUGCUGUCCCACUGACAUCCAGCGAUGUGUGAGCGGCCACUGCAACUCCUCCUCCCCCCACCAGCAGCAGAUACUUUGUUGGAUUCGCCAAUUCCAUUGUUGCUGCUGUUACAGUUACUUGGCGGCUUUUGGGCGGGCGUUGCAUAUACAGGAUUCGUGGACAUCGUUGCUAUAAUUUCUUUACACUUUCUUUUUUACAUGCAAUUAUUGAUUUUUAUUAUUGUUUUUUUUUUUCUAUAUACGACUAUCAAUUAAAACAGCUUGCCUUUUUCGAUUUUCGUCUGAGUGAAAAGUCGCCUUUGUGUUGUUGUUAGGUUUUUGUUGUAAGUUUUGUUAUGCUUUUUUGUUGUCCUUGACAUUUAAAACACUUCGAUUUUUUCGUUGCUAUAACAAACCUGGUGCGCGCAAAUAGUGAUAGCUGCAAACAUUUUAUAAAAAACAAAUGACCCGCAUUUGUUGUUAACUAUUUGACA